GAAAGUGGCACUGUGGAAGUAAGUAAGGGCCAAUCAAUACUCUAACGUCGUUGAUGGGACGAACAGGCAGCACCCUCCAAUCGGCGUAAAUUUCUUCGAUCUUUUUCGGCGGCAAGGUAUUUUCUCUCUCUGUUCAAUCCCUCACAAUCGGAAAUAUUCGACAUUUCUUCCGUAAUUUCAUUCCAUUUACCCGUUUCUGGAUUUUGUAUGGACGAGAAGGUGAAUUUGAUUGGACUCGGUUCAGUGUUCUUGUGGUGGGUGAAAAAAACGUAUGCGAGCUUUCUUCUAUCCCGUUAAUCGACUUUAAUUUCACGCAUUUUGAAGAAGAAAUUCGGCGAUCUUAGCUUUGAUUGGUCGCCUGGUUCUAUUGAUUCAGCUGGAGAAUUCCUUGGCUGUCUUCUUGUGAUGUGAUUAGGAUGACAAUAUGCUCAUGUGGGUUAAUUGUUUCUAUGUGGAUUCAGAUUAUGAACAAGUUUUCUUCCAUAUCAAGGCAUAGGUUCUCCAUGUCAGGCCAUUAUAGAAGCUUGCAGGAAAAUGUUAAGGUGUGACUAGAAAAGUGGAGUGGAGCAUCUUUUACUUGCUUUUUGCUGUAGUUUUCUUUUCCCAACUAGACAAAAUAUUGGCAAUGCAUCUCCAUUCCUCAAAACUUUGCUUAGCUGCGUACUUUGGUGAUAUGUGAAGUAUCAAUAUAUGGCAAAAAGAAAGUUGAUUACACAAGAAUUCAAAGUGGGGGGAUCUCAAUUGGCUCCACCUAUAGUACCUUCCUUUCCUUUACCCUACACCUACAGAAAGGGGCCUUCAGCUACUGCAAUUACCUCAUGCCUUCCACUUACUGUCACUUGCCUUAGAUUUUUAUCUAUCUCAAUCUGGAUUCUUCUACUUUGUCUUUUAUGACUAACAGCUACAUAAAGGAAGAAAAAGGAGUGGUAUUGGAUUAUUUUUUGCGAUGGGCUUCAUUGGCUGUAAGCGGUAUAUUACGUAGGAUUGGUAACAUGCUUGUUGUAGUAUAAAAAUUGAUCAUUGUAAUACUUGGUGCAUGCUGCAUGUUGAGCUGCCUGUGUGAUUGAUAGCCGUGAGAUCUCGUGUAACUUACGUUUCUUGACUGCAUGUUGAGCUGCCUGUGUGAUUGAUAGCCGUGAGAUCUCGUGUAACUUACAUUUCUUGACUGCAUGUUGAAUUAGUAAGAUAGACGUUAAGAGAGGGUUUUCCGGUUACAGGGUGGAUUUGACAGGGAGGCGUUCAAGCCUACAUACCAUAUGUGGGCUUAUUUAUCAUAUAUUAUGAGCUGUAUAAUCAACGGGUUGAUUCACAAAUUUUUACACUUCACAAAAUGCACAAACUAAAUAUACACUAGAUAAUUGUCAAUUACUUUGCACAAUUCUCAGCAUCUCUAACCUGUAAGCCAAGUGUAAGACAUAUGCAACACGCCCAAAUCCAAGAUUUGGAAUGUGAUUUGAAAUUCGUUCCUCUUUAGUACUAUAUAUAAUGCCCUUGAACUAGUUAGAAUAUGGAUUUUAAAUCCAGAUUUUAAUCCUAGAUUGGAAGUAUUACAAGUCUUUAUUCUUGAAACUUGUUCGUGACAAAUACAAUGAGACCUAGCUAGGAAAUAAUAGGUGCAUGAAAAUAUCAGGGCUAAGUAUCGAAUUUGGAUUUCAAAUCCGAACAUCCACGCAUUUUUCCUUUUUGUAUGUUCAGUCUAGCACAACAUAUAUCAAUAUCUAUGGAGGAGCAGAGCGAGAACGUGGUGCCCAAAGAUAUCAUCUUCUCUCUACUCUAGUCACAUUAAAAAUAACGAAAAACAAAGGAAGUGGAUUUUGUGUCUGAUAUUUGGAAAGCUAUGUGAAAACAAGCAUGUGUAAGAAGGUUCUUUCUUUUUGGCCAAAAGCUCAUUGUAUUACAUAAAGUACUAUUUGGGUGCAGUUCUUUUUGUGAAGUAACCAAAGGACAAGGCUGAAGCAGGCAAAAUCAGAAGGUUGCUUUCUUCCGUUGAGAUUUUUUUUGGUCCUUUUGACUUUCAUGUGGCUGUUGACAACAUUUUAUUUUGUGCAGUUGGAAGAAGCUGCUUGGAAGCAAAACCAACUUACUUUCUUCCAAGGCAACAUUGACAACAUAUAAACAAUUACUUAUCCUCAUCAACUUCCAAUUUUCCUUUUUAUAUUUAUGAGAUACAUUACCAAACUAAAUGCAAUUGUCUAAGCAAAGAUUCUCCUUAUACAAUGAGAGAGUCUGUUUGACAUACUUUAUUUAUUCAUUAUUUUUAUACAUAGAAAUCUAGAUCUGAAAGUGUUAUCAAACAAAUAGUUUGAGUUGUCUUUCUGAAUAAAUGACUUUGAAUCUUCUGUAA